AGUUAUCUAGAACCAGUGUUAAACAAAGUUUCCACGUUGCCACAUAACCGCGGGCACGACUUUCCGAAAAGAUUUAACCCUGCAGGGGUGCUCCAACUAGUCCAUCACAAAUUACCACAAGCCGCAUAGAAAUCCUGAAUCACGAAGCUCGCGAUCUCGUCGGAUUCCCUAGUGGAAAACCUCAACUCUGAGAUUACCCAAAGCAUCACCGGAAUCCUGAUGCACAAGAUAUCUCGUCAAAGGUAAAACUAAUGCAGCAAGGCCGCCCGACGUGUCGACG
rnacentral:lncRNA from 1 species